CUUGCCCCUAGGGGCAUUGGCGGUGCGGCUGCUGUGUCACAUGUCUGUAGGUGGCAGAGAGGAGAGAGGCUAUGUCUAUGCCCGGUGUUCUGACUAAAGAACAUACAAAUGAAUAGUAAGCUAACAUU
ensembl:snoRNA Gm24255 small nucleolar RNA SNORA17